rnacentral:rRNA from 1 species
AUUGAACGCUGGCGGCAUGCCUUACACAUGCAAGUCGAACGGCAGCAUGAUCUAGCUUGCUAGAUUGAUGGCGAGUGGCGAACGGGUGAGUAAUACAUCGGAACGUGCCCUGUAGUGGGGGAUAACUAGUCGAAAGAUUAGCUAAUACCGCAUACGACCUGAGGGUGAAAGUGGGGGACCGCAAGGCCUCAUGCUAUAGGAGCGGCCGAUGUCUGAUUAGCUAGUUGGUGAGGUAAAGGCUCACCAAGGCGACGAUCAGUAGCUGGUCUGAGAGGACGAUCAGCCACACUGGGACUGAGACACGGCCCAGACUCCUACGGGAGGCAGCAGUGGGGAAUUUUGGAUAAUGGGCGAAAGCCUGAUCCAGCAAUGCCGCGUGUGUGAAGAAGGCCUUCGGGUUGUAAAGCACUUUUGUCCGGAAAGAAAUGGCUCUGGUUAAUACCUGGGGUCGAUGACGGUACCGGAAGAAUAAGGACCGGCUAACUACGUG